UACGUAGGGGGCUAGCGUUGUCCGGAAUCAUUGGGCGUAAAGGGCGCGUAGGCGGCCUGCUAAGUCGGAUGUGAAAUCCCUCGGCUCAACCGAGGAACUGCAUCCGAUACUGGCGGGCUUGAAUCCGGAAGAGGCGAGUGGAAUUCCUGGUGUAGCGGUGGAAUGCGCAGAUAUCAGGAGGAACACCAACGGCGAAGGCAGCUCGCUGGGACGGUACUGACGCUGAGGCGCGAAAGCGUGGGGGAGCGAACAGG
rnacentral:rRNA from 1 species